AACAACUGCCGCGCCCACAACAACUGCAGCACCCACAACAACUCCAACACCGACAACAACUCCAAUGCCAACAACAACUGCAGCACCUACAACAACUUUGUUUACCACUACAACUGCUGAAGAAGUCAUUACAAAGCAAAUGUCUUUCACAUCUCCAGAUGAUACAUUUACAAGUGACUUGCUAGAUCCAUCAUCUGCAGCGUUUCAAGCGCGAGCCACAUUGCUAGAGUCAACACUUGAAUCCUUCUACAAAGAAAAUUUUCCUUCAUUCCGCACCAUCACGGUGAAAUCAUUCAGUGAGGGAUCAGUCAUCCAAAUCAUGGACAUUGAAUUUUCAUCAAUAUCACCUGAUGAUAGUCAGAUUGCAAAUGUUUUGGUCGCAGCAGUUUCAAACAUCUCAGUUUUCAGCAUUGACACCACCUCC